AAUCAAAACAAUGAAUGCCAUAAAUGCUGUGCAGUUGUUCAUUAUGGUUUGGACCUUCACCGCUGUCUGUCAAGCUGAUGUUGAUUUCUGCAGUGUAACUUGUCAAAAUGUGACUGGAUCUGUGGGGAAAGAAGCAACUUUCACCUGCAACAUCUCUAAGCAGUGUGCUAAAUGCUGCGUUGUAAUGUAUAAGUUUCAAUACCCUGAGAGCUAUAAAGACUCAACAAUCCAUAAAGAAGUGUUUCCUGUGAACUCUUGUGAACAGAGAAACAGCUUCACAUGCCGCUACACUCCACCUACAGCAAUGACAGAAAAAUGCAGUUUCUUUGUGCAAACAAAGUGUGGAGUCAAAAGAACAUUAUUCACUGUAGACGUAAAUCUAAAUACUGCGACCAUCAAACCUGAAAUCAUCACUGAAGUCGUCACUCCUGGAAAGACAGAAAAACCUCCCUGGGACGGAUCAGAAACAUCUUUACAGAAGAAAGCAGAAGGUAAUGGAUUUAAGAUCGCCGUCAUCGCUGCUGUUAUAAGUGGUCUCAUCAUCAUCAUAAUGCCAAUCAUUUACAGAAUGACGCAAAAACACCCCAAACAGAAAAGGACAUUUCUGAUUUUCAGACAUGAUGAAGACAACAGCAAUCAUCCAGAAAAUGUUAUAUAACAGAAUUGACUCAGCAGUACCAAACAUUUAUUUUUUUUAUUUGUUUGAAUAAUUUGUAUCAUGCUCAUGAAAGACACAAGCUUUAUUUGAACUCCAGUAAACUACUCUGCUGAACUAUAUAACCCUGGUUGCAUAUUUCAAAACUCUGUUUAUGUUUUAUAUUAAUUUCUGUUAAAUAAAGGUAUAUUAGAGAUAUGUUUGAUCA
ensembl:lncRNA